AACGUAGGAGGCGAGCGUUAUCCGGAUUUACUGGGCGUAAAGCGCAUGCAGGUGGCCUGACAAGUCUGAUGUGAAAGCCCCUGGCUUAACUGGGGGAGUGCGUUGGAAACUGUGAGGCUGGAGGUCGGAAGAGGAAAGCGGAAUUCCCGGUGUAGUGGUGGAAUGCGUAGAUAUCGGGAGGAACACCAGUGGCGAAGGCGGCUUUCUGGUCCGGACCUGACACUAAGAUGCGAAAGCGUGGGGAG
rnacentral:rRNA from 1 species